GUAGAAGAAGAAAGCUCCGCAAGUUCCUUAUACGACGACGGGGAAGUAGAAGAGGAAGAGGAUUUGGACGAGGAGGAGGGCGAGGGUGAGAAUGACGCCGACGGCGAUCACAAUGCGAAGUUACGAGACGGCGAAGACAACGCAGACGGCGAGCCUGAAGAAAGCACUCGGGGUAAAAAGCGAAAA